UGGCCGACUCCACCGCGAGGGCUCCGGUGCCGGUGUCACCACAAUAUGCAUUGACUUAGGGGUUCGAUUGCCUUCUCCCCUCCUCCCUUUCCUCUCUCUCCCUCGCUCCUCGCUCUUUGCCUACAUCAAUAUUACCAGGCUUCGGAGGGAGGCAGGACUCGCUUCCGACCUAAGCAUCCGCCGACCCCAUCCUCUGUCGAGUGGGAAACAACAAUGCAGAGACAGGGAGGCAGGGGGGAGAGGGUCGCCCGGAGGCGGCGGCGCGGCUGUGGCCGGCGGCGGGCCGGGUGCAGGAGGCGACGGCGGAGGUGGCGGGGUGGCGGCGCCUGUCAGCCGGGCACGGGCAGGGCGCGGGUCCCCAUGGCCCCGCGGAGGACGGCCCGCUCUCCCCGGCCAGGGGCACGCCGCGUCUCCGCUGCCCACGGACUGCGGCCGGAGGUCCGCCCGCGGGCGCCGGGCUCCGACUGCUGACGCCGCCUCCCCCGGACCUCGGGGCCGAAUCGCCUGCGCUGGGCCUCCCGAGAGCCACAGUCAUCUUCAGUCCCCGGCUAAGUUGCCGCCAUCUUCGUCCUGGAGAAGCACUUUUUGGGGGGGGAGCGCCGGCUCGUGCGUCAUCUCCUCCUCCCGCGCCGCGCUCGCUCCCUCCUGGCGCAUUGGCACCGGGCUCGGCCCGGCAGAGGGGGAGGCGAGGGCGCCGGGGGUCCGGGGUGGGCGGGGGGAGCCCGGCUGGGCCCGCAGGCCGGCCUGAGCGGCUGCGCGCUGACGCCUGCCCUGCCUUGCCGUCCGCCAGCCCACCCCUAGCCCCGCCACCUUUGGUUUUUUUCUGUUAUUACUGAUAAAAGUCAGACUGCGGACAGCAAGGUUUGAGGAUGCCUGCUGAAUUUCUUCGGCACCUCCUGCUCCCUCUCGGACUCCGAGAAAAAGUCCGAGUUGCGGCGGGUGGGCAGAGGCUUCUAGCGGGCGAGGGUCUGGAUGUUGCCGCCUUAACUAGACAAUGAGCGUGGGCUUCCGACGAAAGGCUGCGGGCACGGGAGGAAACCCGAAUUGGCUGGCGGGGGGCAGAGGAGGGACACCUGAUCUCUUUGCAUGUCUCGGGAUCCCUGGACAACUAAACAUCAACAGCUUCCAGUGUAUUAUCUUGUCAGAUGAUUUUAGUACAUGGCAGGGGUGAGGCGUGUGGCAUACAUCCUUAGCUGUAUGUAGGACAGCGACAUUUUUCAUAAAGUCAAAGAUUAGAAGUGGCCACAUAGAGUAUCAGAGAAAAAUACUAGGACCUCGCCUUCCAGCCUUCACUGACUAGCCCACCGUUUCGAGUUCCAAUCCUCCUGACCUCGGAGGAUUCCUCCUCCGAUCUGGAGCAUCCCAAGCUCUCGUGAACCCCACUCCGAAGACCUGCGCCCAGCCCCCACCGAGCUGGGCUCUGCCGUCGCCCAGGACUUCCGCAGCACCGUGCCGUCAGGCUGCCCUGACGGGUGGCAGCUGUAGCAAUCCGAGCCUCUGGUGCCCCUUAGCGUUGGCUCUUGGAGUUCCGAGAAGGAAAAGCCUGUCACGCUAGGAAAAUCAGGGGUCCUCUCGACCCCGCCUCAUGCGGGUCAGUGCUAUGGGCAAACAUCAGUCUCCUUUUAUGUGAAGACCGUGCUCACUCCGCCCCUCACGCCCACCGAAGCUGCGAGGGCAGGAGACGGAGCCGGUGCCGGCGCCUUCCCUGGGCGCGCGCCCGGAGCGCAGCAGAGGACGGCGGUGUGUUCCACUGAGCACUCACUGUGGCAAGCUCCUUCUCUGCUUUCGAAUGACUCUAACUAUUCAGUAGGGUGCACAUUGACAUGAGCAGUGUUAGUGUGCCAUCGCUCUAAGUAUGCUGAGAACCCAAAAGGACGGAUCGUCCGUAUUCAUAUUCUUUUUAGAGGUGCUGUGAGUGUUGACACCGGGGAGAAGUGGGUAUUUUUUAAAAAGCAAGUUGCAAAAGAUAAUUGGCAAGAUUCGACCAACUGGUCCUUUCUGUGGCAUAGUAGGGUAUAUAUUAAUACUAAAUUUUACCCAUGUUAAAUUGUAAGUUUCUAAAAACUCCGUGCAGUGGCCAUCAAGGCUUGGUGCAGUUUGACAGCUGGUUGAUCUAAAAGUGUCAUAUAAUGUUUGAGAAGACAACCUGUGUAAGUAUACCAUUCUGGUACUUUGGCUUUUAGCGUGCUGAAUUUUAACUCCAUAAAAGGUCUAGAAACUAAAAUAUAUACUUUCUAUGGCAGGUUUAUCCUUAUCUUAUAGCAUCUUUAAGCAAAUUUCCAGGUUCUGUUGAAAAUUUAACAUAAAAAAAACCCACUUUAUCUGAGCUUUGUAUAGAAAGCAGAAGCUGAGGAAAUAGUCUUUUCGAUUCUUCUCUUUUCAUAGUUUAAAUUAUUUUGACAUUGAAUAAAAUAUUUUUCUUUUAAAAUAUUUUUCUUUUU
rnacentral:lncRNA from 1 species